rnacentral:rRNA from 1 species
GGACGAACGCUGGCGGCGUGCUUAACACAUGCAAGUCGAACGAAGAGCGAUGGAAGCUUGCUUCUAUCAAUCUUAGUGGCGAACGGGUGAGUAACGCGUAAUCAACCUGCCCUUCAGAGGGGGACAACAGUUGGAAACGACUGCUAAUACCGCAUACGAUCUAAUCUCGGCAUCGAGGAUAGAUGAAAGGUGGCCUCUACAUGUAAGCUAUCACUGAAGGAGGGGAUUGCGUCUGAUUAGCUAGUUGGAGGGGUAACGGCCCACCAAGGCGAUGAUCAGUAGCCGGUCUGAGAGGAUGAACGGCCACAUUGGGACUGAGACACGGCCCAGACUCCUACGGGAGGCAGCAGUGGGGAAUCUUCCGCAAUGGACGAAAGUCUGACGGAGCAACGCCGCGUGAGUGAUGACGGCCUUCGGGUUGUAAAGCUCUGUUAAUCGGGACGAAAGGCCUUCUUGCGAACAGUUAGAAGGAUUGACGGUACCGGAAUAGAAAGCCACGGCUAACUACGUG